AUUGAACGCUGGCGGCAUGCCUUACACAUGCAAGUCGAACGGCAGCGGGGGAGAAGCUUGCUUUUCCUGCCGGCGAGUGGCGAACGGGUGAGUAAUACAUCGGAACGUGCCCUGUAGUGGGGGAUAACUAGUCGAAAGAUUAGCUGAUACCGCAUACGACCUGAGGGUGAAAGUGGGGGACCGCAAGGCCUCAUGCUAUAGGAGCGGCCGAUGUCUGAUUAGCUAGUUGGUGGGGUAAAGGCCUACCAAGGCGACGAUCAGUAGCUGGUCUGAGAGGACGAUCAGCCACACUGGGACUGAGACACGGCCCAGACUCCUACGGGAGGCAGCAGUGGGGAAUUUUGGACAAUGGGCGAAAGCCUGAUCCAGCAAUGCCGCGUGUGUGAAGAAGGCCUUCGGGUUGUAAGCACUUUUGUCCGGAAAGAAAUGGCUCUGGUUAAUACCUGGGGUCGAUGACGGUACCGGAAGAAUAAGGACCGGCUAACUACGUGCCAGCCGCCGCGGUAA
rnacentral:rRNA from 1 species